rnacentral:lncRNA from 1 species
GUCUUUUAAGAACUGAACAUUUUAAUCUUUUGCUUAUGCCCUGUGAGUCCCUUGACCUCCCUGGACUCAAAUUGUCACUUGGAAGAUUCUGUCUUACAGGUUGAGUAGCAAAGUGGAUAGCUGUUGGAGAUACUAAUACACAUAUCUCUUCUUUCAUGGGUCCAAUCCAGGAUUAUAGCUUGCAUUGGAUUGUGACAUCUCUUUAGUCUUCUUUAAUCUGGAACAACUGAACAACUCCUCAGUCUUUCUUUGGCUUUCAUGACAUGAACAUUUCUGAAGACCACCAUUCAGUUGUUCUGUGAAUGCCCUCUUCGUGUGAGUCAUCUGAUUGUCUUCUCAUUAUUGGAUUUAGGUUUUGUGUCUUGGUCAGAAAUACUGCACAGAUUAUGGGUACUUCUCUCAGUUAAUCACAUCAGGAAGUGCAUGAUGUUAGUUUGUCCCAUUACAGAUAAUGUUAACUUCACUUGGUUAAUGUGAUUUCUCUAUAGUAAAACAACAAUUUUUCCUUUGUAAUUAAUACAUAAUCUGUACGUAGAUAGCUUUAACCUGUUUAACAACAAACUCUGACACAUUGGUUGUAGCUUCCUCUGAUGAUUCUUGAAUAAACCAAUUAUUGUUAUAUUGAUGGC